rnacentral:rRNA from 1 species
GACGAACGCUGGCGGCGUGCUUAACACAUGCAAGUCGAACGGAAAGGCCCUGCUUUUGUGGGUUGCUCGAGUGGCGAACGGGUGAGUAACACGUGAGUAACCUGCCCUUGACUUUGGGAUAACUUCAGGAAACUGGGGCUAAUACCGGAUAGGAGCUCCUGCUGCAUGGUGGGGGUUGGAAAGUUUCGGCGGUUGGGGAUGGACUCGCGGCUUAUCAGCUUGUUGGUGGGGUAGUGGCUUACCAAGGCUUUGACGGGUAGCCGGCCUGAGAGGGUGACCGGCCACAUUGGGACUGAGAUACGGCCCAGACUCCUACGGGAGGCAGCAGUGGGGAAUAUUGCACAAUGGGCGGAAGCCUGAUGCAGAAACGCCGCGUGCGGGAUGACGGCCUUCGGGUUGUAAACCGCUUUCGCAUGUGACGAAGCGUGAGUGACGGUAAUGGGUAAAGAAGCACCGGCUAACUACGUG